GUCUAUGGCCAUAGCACCCUGAACACGCCUGAUCUCAUCUGAUCUUGGAAGCUAAGCAUGGUCAGGCCUGGUUAGUACUUGGAUGGGAGAAAAAAAAGUUGAUAUAAGUA
ensembl:rRNA 5S_rRNA 5S ribosomal RNA